CGGAGCGUAAACUCCUUUUAUCAGGAAAGAAUAAUGACGGUACCUGAUGAAUAAGCACCGGCUAACUCCGUGCCAGCAGCCGCGGUAAUACGGGGGGUGCAAGCGUUACUCGGAAUCACUGGGCGUAAAGGACGCGUAGGCGGAUUAUCAAGUCUUUUGUGAAAUCUAGUGGCUUAACCACUAAACUGCUUAGGAAACUGAUAGUCUAGAGUAGGGGAGAGGUAGAUGGAAUUCUUGGUGUAGGGGUAAAAUCCGUAGAGAUCAAGAAGAAUACCCAUUGCGAAAGCGAUCUGCUGGAACCUAACUGACGCUGAGGCGUGAAAGCGUGGGUAGCAAACAGGAUUAGAUACCCUGGUAGUCCACGCCCUAAACGAUGUAUACUAGUUGUUGCUUUGCUAGUCAAGGCAGUAAUGCWGCUAACGCAUUAAGUAUACCGCCUGGGGAGUACGGUCGCAAGAUUAAAACUCAAAGGAAUAGACGGGGACCCGCACAAGCGGUGGAGCAUGUGGUUUAAUUCRAAGAUACGCGAAGAACCUUACCUGGACUUGACAUCCUAAAAACAUCUUGCAGAUUAGAAAGUGCUAGUUUACUAGAAUUUAGUGACAGGUGCUGCACGGCUGUCGUCAGCUCGUGUCGUGAGAUGUUGGGUUAAGUCCCGCAACGAGCGCAACCCACGUGUUUAGUUGCUAACAGCUMGGCUGAGCACUCUAAACAGACUGCCUUCGUAAGGAGGAGGAAGGUGUGGACGACGUCAAGUCAUCAUGGCCCUUAUGUCCAGGGCGACACAC
rnacentral:rRNA from 1 species